rnacentral:rRNA from 1 species
UACGGGGGAGCAAGCGUUGUUCGGAUUUACUGGGCGUAAAGGGCGCGUAGGCGGCCCGCCGCGUCCGGGGUGAAAUCCUUCCGCUCAACGGGAGGACGGCCUCGGAUACGGGCGGGCUGGAGGGGGGUAGGGGCAGGCGGAACUGUGGGUGGAGCGGUGAAAUGCGUUGAGAUCCACAGGAACUCCGGUGGCGAAGGCGGCCUGCUGGACCCCACCUGACGCUGAGGCGCGAAAGCCAGGGGAGCAAACGGGG